ACCAGGUGGUUUUGGCGGGCUAGAUGGGGAAGGGGAAGUUCUCUGAAUGAACCAGCUGGAAAAGCUAAGGCCAGUAUGCUGCUUUUUGGUGGGGAGGAAGAAAUGCUCCAGGAUAUCUAUGUACAAUUAUAUAUGUCUUUAUGAGUGGAAAGAGGCAAGUCUCCAGAGUUACACAUUGUCGGUCAUUGCAGCUGGUCAAGUGGAGGUGUUAAAAUUAGACUGCUGGCUGAAAGACUAUUAGGAAGCCAAUUUAGGUAUUUUACUGUGUUUUAGCAAUUUAAUUCUUAGAGUAACUCUUAUGGGGCUUGCUGUCAAUUAUUUCAAACAGCUUGAAAAAUGCUUCUGCCUAGGGUUAAUACAAUCAACCUGAGAAGAAUUUAAACUGUUGCUUCAGAGCACUUGCAUAAACAUACGUUCCACAUCUACAAUUACAUGUUUUACAGAAUGAAAUUUAUUUUAAGUGCUAUUAAUGGUUUGGAAGGCUUGUACUAGCCUCCUGCAUGCACAGGCUAUUUGACCACAAGUGUCUGAUUCAGAAGGUCUGCAAAACAUCUACUUUGCGUGUUUGCAAGCAGUCCAGGAAUAAAUUGUUUGAUAAUGCUGUUACAAACCUAGGCCAUAUGUGAUAAGUAACAGAAGCCAAGAACAAAUAAGAGUAUUGUGUGUGCUAAGUGAUUGCAAUAGUAGGUAACUUGAUGAGCAAAAUGCACAGAAGUCAUAAAAUUAUGCCUCAUGCUAAAGGCAACUUUGAGCAUCGCAAGGUCUCUUGCCAUCUCAGCACUGAGGGAGAGGAAGCUGUCCUUUGCAGCAUCUGUUGCUUAGCAAUCUGUUUCUCAGGUGUCUUUAGCUGUACGGCAUUGUGAUCAAAGCUUCAAAGGGUUCACAAAAUAAAGGAGUUCAUUAGCCCAUCUUUCAGAAGUAUAACAGGAAAAUGCAGUAGAAAUACAGAUGAUUUCAAACUGUGCUCAAAGUUACUGCACCACCAGAGAGUUAAGCAGAACGGGCUCCUGGUACUGCUGCAUGGACACUGAAACCAGAGAGGCUGCUUGGGCUGAGACAUGUUCUUCCCUUGGGAGGCUCAGCUGAGGCUACAUGAUUUAUUUCUGAAAAACGGAAGCCUGUCUUUUUUGAAAAAAAGUCUCCAAGCUUGAGGAAAGAUCAACUAUUCUUCAGCAAAAGACCAAAUUAUGGCCCAACUCUGUAUUUAGAGACUAAUGAAUGUGGUUACGAUAUAAAGAAAUCGUCUGCACCUUCUAUUCAUCUGGAAAAUGUUUUUCUCAUAUAUUACAGUAUACUACAUAUACUACUACAAGUAUUAUGCACACUGGUUUCCCAACUAGGGGAAAAACAACAGCCACAAUAACUACUGCUGCCCACAGUGAACGUUUUUCAGUCAGGGCAGUGUCAGAGCAUUUCAUGCAAGUGCAAUCAGAAGCAGUCCAGGAAUUCAAAAGACCAGGAAACAGAUAGCUGCGGACAAGGAGAGUAUGGUCUGCCUGAAAUCUAGCUGCUGUCAGGUAAGAAAGAUGGUGAGACUGGAAGGAGGAGGGAAGAGAGAAAAUGCAAUGCGAUGCUGAAAUCAUAUUGUGCUGACCCAAAGAGUGAUUCACUGAGCUCCUCUGUUCUCCAUCAGAGAAAGGAAGUAAUAAUCAGAGAACAUUCAGAAUUUCUGUCCAUGAAAAGGCCCAAGCCAACCAUUCUGCUCUCAUCAUUAUGCUGCUAUAGGAGCUAACUACAGACAGCUCUAGGAAGCAAGUGUUACUGUGGGCAAAAGGAAUGAAAUCUGGUUAAAAUUAACUUUUGAUUCCAUUACUGUGAGGGGAAAAAAAUAGAGAAUUUGACUGUUGUCUAUUUGUCCAGAAUUGUUAUUGCAGAUGUGACUAUGUAGUUACACAUACAGUAGUUAAAGACUCAUAAAUUCUAUUUUGAAGGUCAAAAGUCUCUAAAAUUUAUUAUAGUUUUGAUUGUGAUUUAUAGCUGCAGAGAUAGGAUGUUCUACUCAAGCCAAGGGAAGCUGCCAAAUGCAACCACACUUCGAUAGGCACAAAGUAUCCUUUGGAGGAAUUCCUGGUUUUGCUUUAUCAUAAAACAUCCAUCAAAUUGUAAUCACUUCAUUGUUGCACAAUAAAUAGUUUUUCUAGGUUAAGUAAGCCAGUUCAGUCCUUCUCACCUAAUCUGUCUAAAAUUUACAUAAUGCGACUGACCUUUCUGUGGUUCUCUUAGUUCUCCUUUUUGUUCUCCUCUUUUUCCAAUUGAUCAUGCUCCUAAUGUUCCUUCAUAAUUCAUCACAAAAGUUACUCAUUUUUAUGGGUUUUGUAUUUGGCCUCUAUGAAGUUGGUGUGUGUGUUUGUAUCAGUAUGCAUAUAUAUAACAUACAUAUACACAAGCAGGUAGCUGGAUCACCUUCGCACCUCAUAACAACAGUCCUGAGAGAUUAAGCUCUGUAUGCAAUGAAAUAUUCCUUGUGGUGGAGAAUGGUUUUUCACUUCUUUAGAUCCUAAGGCAUAAUGGCUGUGUUUGCUAGUGGGCCAGCUGACUUGCUAAUUCAUGCUUGGAUGUUUUGCCAACAAGCCUUUGUAUUUUCCAUCACCAACUAAAAACCAGUUCAGUCAAAGCCUGAAACACUUGCACACUUACUGAACAUAAUGAAGUGAUGGUUUUACCAAAAUGCAGUGAAUUACUCUCAGAAUGGCAGCAGACUGUUUCUAGGGAGUAAUAAUCCAAAACUUUAAUUGGGAUGGCUGCUUCUUCAUUGUGAUGAACCCUCAAAAAAAAAAAAAACAAACAACAAAACAAAAAAAAAAACACAAAGCAACAACAACAAACUUUCAAAGUCCAGCUUGCAUUUUGUCAUUAAAAAGCACUACUUAUAUAUUCAAGAAUAUAUUCAAGAAGGCUACUUGUUUGAAUGCUGAUGUAGAUUUUUUUUUUCUUCUAAUAGACAAAACCACAGCUCAUGCUUUAUAGAAAUCCUCUCAUUUGUUGAUGAAGCCAGUACAUGUGAGUAUUUAGCUUGAGCCUUUUUGGUGCUUAGCUGCUGAUACUUCAUGGUAGAACAAGCCAUAUUUGAUAUAUAAAGCUAACUACCCAGUCUCAGGCUCCCUGCCUCUUUCCUGGCAGAGAAACUGCAAAUGCACACAGAGAUGCACAGCUGUAAGAGUCAAACCUAGGUUUAUAUCUCUUCCACUUCUGGGUAAGCCUUCCAGAUUAUGAUAUUAUACCCUCCUUCUAUAGGCAAGGGGAACUCAAAAGUAAUUAGUUCUUAGAGCGUCUUGGUCUGUGUAGUUUUCUGUACUCUUUUGUGUUUUCUUCCUCCAUGAACUGAAGGAAAACUGAUGACAUGAAGAAAGUGUGAAGGAAAUGACCAACAAUUCUAUUCUUGUACUCCAUCACUAAUUUGUAACAAGGACCAUCAUGAAAGUAAUGUUUGAAAUUAAAGACGUAUGAGACACAUUCCCAAUAUUUUCUGAAGUAUGUCCUGCUUUUAAUUAAAAUGUAAAGUAUACAUACUGAAGAACUUGCUUUUCUGCCAGGAGCAGCUGCCUUGUACAACCUUUCCCACCGCGGACAUCAAAUGUCAACUGAAAAAAAUGUUUUGUUCUUGUAUUGAAACUCAUGCAGUUGGAAACUUUAUUGCAAUCAGAAACAUAAUGUAGAAGUAGAGGGCAAUAUUAUGUUUAACGUAUAAUUAGUUUGCAAAAAAAUAUAACCAAGGGACAAGUUUUUGAUAGAAUAACUUCACACAAUAGAUGCAGAAUAAUGGAUCACAUUGAUAGAUCCUUCUUGCUAAACGCCAUGACAAAGUAAAUGAAUAUUUGUAUAAAAACGCUAUAAUAGUUCAAGCUUGAAUUAGAGAGUCUGUAACCUUUGUUUGUGAUCAUAAAUUACAGAGAAAUCCUGCAGGCAAAAUAAAUGCAACACUAAUUAAAACAAAAAAAUAAAUAAAACCACAAAACCACCAACAUUAAAAGCCAACAGAUACAACCCAUCAAAUAGUGAAAAUAUUAUAUUGUGUACCUAACAUUAAUCACUUAAGAUGC